UGCGAAUGCAGGCAUCUACAACACCAU
rnacentral:piRNA from 1 species